AUAAUAAUUAGUCUUUUAAUUGAAGGCUAGAAUGAAAGAUUGGACGAGGUAAAUACUGUCUCAUUUAAAUUAAAAAUUGAAUUUAAUUUUUAAGUGAAAAAGCUUAAAUUUUAUUAUAGGACGAGAAGACCCUAUAGAACUUUAUAUAUUUAAAUUUAAUUUUUUUUAAUUUUAAAAAUUAAAAAUAAAUAUAUUUUAUUGGGGCGAUAAGAAAAUUUAAAUAACUUUUUUAAUUUAAUUACAUUAAUUAAUGAAUUGUUGAUCCUAAUUUUUUAGAUUAAUAGAUUAAGUUACCUUAGGGAUAACAGCGUUAUUUUUUUUAAAAGUUCAUAUUUAUGAAAAAGAUUGC
rnacentral:rRNA from 1 species